GUGGGGAAUAUUGGACAAUGGGCGCAAGCCUGAUCCAGCGACGCCGCGUGGGUGAUGAAGGCCUUCGGGUUGUAAAGCCCUGUGGGGAGGGACGAAAACGUCAUGGGCGAAUAGGCCAUGGCCUUGACGGUACCUCCUUAGCAAGCACCGGCUAACUCUGUGCCAGCAGCCGCGGUAAGACAGAGGGUGCAAACGUUGCUCGGAAUUACUGGGCGUAAAGCGCGUGUAGGCGGAUAUAUAAGUCAGGUGUGAAAUCCCUGGGCUCAACCCAGGAACUGCAUUUGAAACUGCAUAUCUUGAGUGUCGGAGAGGAAAGCGGAAUUCCUGGUGUAGAGGUGAAAUUCGUAGAUAUCAGGAGGAACACCGGUGGCGAAGGCGGCUUUCUGGACGAUUACUGACGCUGAGACGCGAAAGCGUGGGGAGCAAACAGGAUUAGAUACCCGGGUAGUCC
rnacentral:rRNA from 1 species